GAUGAACGCUGGCGGCGUGCCUAAUACAUGCAAGUCGAGCGAACAGACGAGGAGCUUGCUCCUCUGACGUUAGCGGCGGACGGGUGAGUAACACGUGGAUAACCUACCUAUAAGACUGGGAUAACUUCGGGAAACCGGAGCUAAUACCGGAUAAUAUAUUGAACCGCAUGGUUCAAUAGUGAAAGACGGUUUUGCUGUCACUCAUAGAUGGAUCCGCGCCGCAUUAGCUAGUUGGUAAGGUAACGGCUUACCAAGGCAACGAUGCGUAGCCGACCUGAGAGGGUGAUCGGCCACACUGGAACUGAGACACGGUCCAGACUCCUACGGGAGGCAGCAGUAGGGAAUCUUCCGCAAUGGGCGAAAGCUUGACGGAGCAACGCCGCGUGAGUGAUGAAGGUCUUCGGAUCGUAAAACUCUGUUAUUAGGGAAGAACAAAUGUGUAAGUAACUAUGCACGUCUUGACGGUACCUAAUCAGAAAGCCACGGCUAACUACGUG
rnacentral:rRNA from 1 species